GUGGGGAAUCUUGCGCAAUGGGCGAAAGCCUGACGCAGCCAUGCCGCGUGAAUGAUGAAGGUCUUAGGAUUGUAAAAUUCUUUCACCGGGGACGAUAAUGACGGUACCCGGAGAAGAAGCCCCGGCUAACUUCGUGCCAGCAGCCGCGGUAAUACGAAGGGGGCUAGCGUUGCUCGGAAUUACUGGGCGUAAAGGGCGCGUAGGCGGACAGUUUAGUCAGAGGUGAAAGCCCAGGGCUCAACCUUGGAAUUGCCUUGGAUACUGGCUGUCUUGAGUUUGGGAGAGGUGAGUGGAACUCCGAGUGUAGAGGUGAAAUUCGUAGAUAUUCGGAAGAACACCAGUGGCGAAGGCGACUCACUGGCCCAAUACUGACGCUGAGGCGCGAAAGCGUGGGGAGCAAACAGGAUUAGAAACCCGGGUAGUCC
rnacentral:rRNA from 1 species